AGAGUUCGAUCCUGGCUCAGGAUGAACGCUGGCGGCGUGCUUAACACAUGCAAGUCGAGCGAAGCGAAUCUUCGGAAGUUUUCGGAUGGAAGAGGAUUUGACUUAGCGGCGGACGGGUGAGUAACGCGUGGGUAACCUGCCUUACACUGGGGGAUAACAGUUAGAAAUGACUGCUAAUACCGCAUAAGCGCACAGGGCCGCAUGGCCUGGUGUGAAAAACUCCGGUGGUGUAAGAUGGACCCGCGUCUGAUUAGGUAGUUGGCGGGGUAACGGCCCACCAAGCCGACGAUCAGUAGCCGACCUGAGAGGGUGACCGGCCACAUUGGGACUGAGACACGGCCCAAACUCCUACGGGAGGCAGCAGUGGGGAAUAUUGGACAAUGGGCGAAAGCCUGAUCCAGCGACGCCGCGUGAGUGGAGAAGUAUUUCGGUAUGUAAAGCUCUAUCAGCAGGGAAGAAAAUGACGGUACCUGACUAAGAAGCCCCGGCUAACU
rnacentral:rRNA from 1 species